GCGGUGGAGCAUGUGGUUUAAUUCGAUGGUACGCGAGAAACCUUACCAGGGCUUGACAUACGCUGGAAGCGGUCCGAAAGGAUCGUGCCGCUUGCGGCCGGCGUACAGGUGCUGCAUGGCUGUCGUCAGCUCGUGCUGUGAAGUGUUGGGUUAAGUCCCGCAACGAGCGUAACCCCUGCUGUCUGUUGCCACCACGAGAGGUGGGGACUCAGGCGGAACUGCCGGUGACAAACCGGAGGAAGGUGGGGACGACGUCAAGUCAUCAUGGCCCUUAUGUCCUGGGCUACACACGUGCUACAAUGGCCGGUACAGAGCGCAGCGAGGCCGCGAGGCGGAGCGAAUCGCUUAAAGCCGGUCCCAGUACGGAUUGGAGUCUGCAACCCGACUCCAUGAAGUUGGAAUCGCUAGUAAUCGCGCAUCAGCAUGGCGCGGUGAAUACGUUCCCGGGCCUU
rnacentral:rRNA from 1 species